rnacentral:lncRNA from 1 species
CCUGUGCGCGAGAGUCUUAGUGCACUGUCUGGGCAGAAGAAGGUUUCCUGCCCUGUGCACGGGUGGAAGAAGGUUCCCCACCCCGUGGAAAGCUAGCUUGAGAGUGCACUGUCUGGGCAGAAGAAGGAUUCCUGCCCUGUGCACGGGUGGAAGAAGGUUCCCCACCCCGAAAUGGCGCCUGUGAGUAGAUGAAGGAUUCCUACUCCGAAUAGUCUUUUUCUUUCUUUUUUCCUUUUUAGAAAGCGCACCGGGGGACGCCCCAAUCGUGCAGGCUCUGGGACGCGUGAGAGACGUUCCGCGAGCCAGCCUUUUUCGGGUCCUGGCUCUGGGACACGUGAGAGACUUUCCACGAGCCGAAUUUUGUCGGGAGGACCCGGCAACGGACAGUCAAAAAGAUCUGACUGUGACUUGACUUCGGAGGUCGCGUUCGGCUGCCUAUUUGAGUAUAGGCACGGACAAGUGUGCUUAGAUGUGCUAAAAGACCUACAGAUGAUACAGAAAGAAAUCUGCUCACAGCUGACAGCAGCCUAUGCUCCGGAGACCCCUGAGACAUCUCAUCAGUCAUGAGUUCCAGGAGACUGCAGCUACACUGAGCCCAGACACUCGAGCCUCACUGGAAAGGACCAUACCUGGUGCUGCUGACCACCUGACAGCUGUCAAUUCUCAGCCCUCACCAGCCGCGUACUAGCUGUUGGGGCUGAGAGCUGGGACCUAGAGGGAAAUUCAGUCAUGUUUGUCCUGGGUUCUAUCAAGAUUGGUGUGGGAUAGGCUUGAUUUCCAUUACAAAUGAUGUAACAUUGCAUAUGUUAGUACUCUUAACACUUCUUGGGACUGUGCCUCAGGGAUCACAGUCUGUAUAAGCUUAGAAGUUCUAAAAGCUAGUCAUGACCUUGGUGUAUAGGCUUAAAUAGUGUUCAGAUUAGAAUCCUCAUGUUAAGACAACAAUACCAAGCUGUUAUGCUAGAUGAAGCUGAGUUCUCCAUGAAGUUCUAAGAUUAGAACUAUUAACAAAAAAAAAGAAGUGGGGAAUGUAGAAUUAGAGUUUCAUAAAGAUUACUCAUU